rnacentral:rRNA from 1 species
UAAUGGGAAAUCAAGGGCGUAUGGUGGAUGCCUUGGCUUAAUGGAGGCGAUGAAGGACGCGGCGUGGCGGCGAUACGCUUCGGGGAGGUGCCGAGCAACCUUUGAUCCGAAGAUGUCCGAAUGCGGAAACGCAAUAUGAUGAACUCAUAUUACCGAUGCGAUUUAUCGCACGGUGCAUACCUAGGGAAGUAAAACAUUUCAGUACCUAGAGGAAAAUAAACCAACAGGAAUUUCGUCAGUAGCGGCGAGCGAACGCGAAGUCAGUCUAAACUUAACCUAAAUCGUACCGCACGUUUAGUCGUGCUGUGCGAUUUAGGUUGAGGGUUGCAAGGUAGAGACGUGACAUUUAUGUCAGAGAAGUCACAAAAUGAGUCGUUAGGAGAACGGUCUGGAAAGGCCGGCCCCAGCGGGUGACAGCCCCGUAUCCGAAAAUGAUCUCAUCUUCUUUGUUUCUAUUCUUAAGUACCCCGGGACACGAAUAGCUCGGGGGAACCCGCCGGAACUAACCGGCAAGACUAAAUACUCCAUAAGACCGAUAGCGAACUAGUACCGUGAGGGAAAGGUGAAAAACAGCCCGGAAGGGCGGUGAAAUAGAUCUGAAACCAUAUGCCUACAAGGAGUCAGAGCGGUCUUCGGACCGUCAUGGCGUGCCUAUUGAAGAAUGAGCCAACGAGUUUUAGCAAGCAGCUCGGCUAAAGUCGCGAGACUGGAGCCACAGGGAAACCGAGUCUGAACAGGGCGCUUGUUGUUUGCUAAGGACCCGAAGCCAGAUGAGCUUGCCACGCGCAGGGUGAAGUUCCUCGAAAGAGGGAUGGAGGCCCGAACCGGUUAGCCGUGCAAAACUAUCGGAUGACGUGUGGUAAGGAGUGAAAAGCUAAUCGAAUCUGGUAAUAGCUGGUUCUCUCCGAAAGAACUUUUGGGUUUGCGUCGUGUGUACCUCUGCGGGGUAGAGCACUGGAAGAUCUCGACAGGCCGAAAGGCCACGAGACCUAUCAAACUCCGAAUACGCAGAGUCAAGUACGCGGCAGUUAGUCUAUGGGGGCUAAGCUCCAUUGGACAAAAGGGAAACAGCCCGGAUCUCAAUUUAAGGUCCCUAAAUCGACGUUCAGUGCGCUUAAGGUAGUGAAAUUUCUCCGACAAUGAGGAUGUAGGCUUAGAAGCAGCCAUCAUUCAAAGAAAGCGUAACAGCUCACUCAUCGAGAGAUUUCGCGCCGCAGAUAAUCGGGGCUUAAACGUCGUACCGAAACUGAGGGCUUGUGAACUUCAUUGAGGAAAAUAUCUGUUCUUUUAUCGGGGUGUCUUUGCUCGUGUCCCAGCGAUGGGUUCGAGCGGAGUAUCGGGUCCAAAUCCCGGCACCUCGACCAUAUUCGGGCCUGUUGUUCCUCCGAUCGCCGGUGAGUUGCAUCCCGGCUUGGAACUUUCGCCCGAUGCGAGGGGGUGCCUGUGCGCGCCAUAGUCUAGGCACUCCCUCGCUGAUUUCGGCUUCCGGGGUAGCUCAAUGGUAGAGCAGCCAGAUUUAACUGGCGGGUUGCAGGUUCAAGUCCUUGCUCCCGGAGCCAAUCAAUUUCCUCAAAUUUCAGCUGAUUCGUAUCUUGUAUCCCCGUCAUCAAUAAUCCAGAUUUCAAAAGUCUGCGAUGGAACUAAGAUGCAUGGGUCAAGCAAGCUGGUCCUCGCAGGGAGGAUCCGAAUCAGCUCCUCAAUGAAGUUCACAAGCGGUAGGAGAGUAUUCCAUUCGCGAUGAAGGGGAAGGCGUGAGCCGCCCUGGAGCGCUUGGAAGUAAGAAUGUUGGUACAAGUAACCGCAAUGCGGGUGAGAUACCCGCACGCCGAAAAACCAAGGUUUCCUUGGCAAUGUAUAUCAGCCAAGGGUUAGUCGGUCCUAAGGGGAUGGCGAACGCCGCACCCGAUGGAUGCACGGUUAAUAUUCCGUGACUUGCAUGAAGAUCGAUGGAGUGACGAAGCGCUGUAUCGCGUGUACAUAAUUGGAUUUGUAUUCGGGCCGUGAGGAUGGUUCCUGGUAAAUCCGGAGCCUCGCUUUGAUGCGGUAUCCAAGCGGAGCGGAUAAGGCCGCAAGGCCGAAAAUGCGAGAGCGCGCUUCCAAGAAAAGCUUCUAAGUUCAUGUUCGUGCAAACCGUACCGCAAACCGACACAGGUGGUUUGGUCGAGAAGACCAAGGCGAACGAGUGAGAGGUCAUCAAGGAACUCGGCAAAAAAGCAGCCGUAACUUCGGAAUAAGGCUUGCCCUUCGUUAACUCGAGGGGCCGCAGCUAAAGUAUCUCUGGCAACUGUUUAUCAAAAACACAGCUCCCUGCGAACUCGAAAGAGGAUGUAUAGGGGGUGACACUUGACCAAUGCGAGAAGGUCAAAUAACGGCGGUGCGAUUAUAUCAAGCUGACUGUUAUAAGCCCUCGUGAAUGUCGGUCGUAACUAUAGAUUGAUCGUUGUAGUUACGCUAAAAAAUCUUGCUAUAUGCUGGAAACUCCGAGCAUCUUCCGGUACGACUUUCCAAACGGAAAACGUGACAAUUCGGAAGUGCGGACAAUCAGCAGGAAAGAUUUCUGUUAAAAUUGGGCCAUGAAUAAGGAUUGGCUCAAUGGCAUAGACCCUGGAAUCGGCAAUUAUAUUGCUGGAUUCACGGACGGUGAAGGAAGCUUCAACGUUUCAGUGAUGAAAAGAAGGGAUUAUGCAGGAAAAUGGAAGGUUCGUGCCUCGUUCAAUAUCUCCCAAAAAGAUCGAUUGAUUCUCGAACGCAUUCAGAAAGUCUUUGGAUGCGGAACGCUUCGAGAAAGAUCCGAUGGGGUGGUUUACUUCGAGGUAACGGACAUCAAAUCUUUAAAGGAAAAGAUAAUCCCAUUUUUCAACCGGUUUGGUUUUCUUUCGGGAAAUAAAAAGAAAAACUUUCUCAUUUUCUCUGAAAUUGUCAGAUUGAUGGCAAAUAAAGAGCAUCUAAAUGAGAUUGGAUUCAAAAAAGCCCUAGAAUUGAGAGAAAUCCUCAAUGAAGGCAAAGGUAGAAAACGAAAAUACAAUCUAUCUGAAUUAAUAACAGAAAAAUCCUCAGAGGCUAUACGCAAGACAGCUUCAAAUCAAAUUGGAAUGCCGACGAUUUGAAGGCUGAUGAUAUAGUCCGAUCUUCAUGGCGACAUGAAGCUAACAAAAACUUCUCUAAGUGAAAGGAACAUUUAGGCAAAAGAAGAAGAUGAACGAUCCUAAGGUAGCGCAAUUCCUUGUCGGGUAAGUUCCGACGCGUUGAAUAGUGCAAUGACUGGAGAACUGUCUCGAUGACUUGCUCGGUGAAAAUACAAUACCGGUGAAGAUGCCGGUUACCUGCAGCUAGACGAAAAGACCCUAGAAGCUUUACUGUAACUUGAUAUUGGCCAUACGUUUUUGAUGCGUAGCGUAGUUGGGAGGAUUUGAAGGGGUGCUUUCGGGUGCUCUGGAUCCGUCGAUGAAACACCAAUCUUUAAAAAUGUAUGUUCUAACCUCAGCGGCAUAAACGCUGGGAGACAGUAUCUGGUGGACAGUUUUAGUGGGGCGCUAUCCUCCUAAACAGUAACGGAGGAGCCUAUUAAGUUCAGCUAGGCGCGAAUGGAAACCGUGCCGAUAGUGUAUGGGCACAAGCUGGAUUGACUGCGAGACGUACGUGUCGAGCAGAUGCGAAAGCAGAGCCAAGUGAACCGACCGUUCGCAUUAGAUGCGGCGGAAGAUUAUCGGACAAAAGCUACUCUAGGGAUAACAGGCUAGUUCCGCCUAAGAGUUCAUAUCGACGGCGGAG